AACGGUCUAUACCUGCGGUACCUGCGGAAGGAUCAUUACCGAGUUAGGGUCUUUUGGCCCGACCUCCAACCCUUUGUUUAUUAUACCAUGUUGCUUUGGUGGGCCUGCCUUUCGGGGCUGCCGGGGGCAUCACUGCCCCUGACUCGUGCCUGCCAGGAGCCUUCUUAAAUUCAGUGUUCAACGGUGCUGUCUGAGUCCCAGUAUCAAAAUAUCAAAAACUUUCAACAAUGGAUCUCUAGA
rnacentral:misc_RNA from 1 species